rnacentral:sRNA from 1 species
AGAUUAAGUUUUACUGUGUUGAUUAAACGUUUCAAAAUCAAAGAUAUUUGCGAUAUUAAACGCGGUAGAGUUAUCAGCAAACUAUAUAUCAAAAACAAUCCAGGAGAAUUCCCUGUUUAUUCAUCAGCAACAGUUAAUAACGGUGAAAUCGGUAAGAUAAAGGAUUGUGAUUUUAAUGGAGAGUACGUCACUUGAACAACUGAUGGAGCCCAAGCUGGUAGUGUUUUUUAUCGUAACGGUCAAUUUAACGCAACCAAUGUUUGUGGAAUUCUUAAGGUAAAAAGUGAU